rnacentral:rRNA from 1 species
GACGAACCGUACGAACGUUAUUCGGAAUCACCGGGCUUAAAGGGUGCGUAGGCUGCGCGGAAAGUUGGGUGUGAAAUCCCUCGGCUCAACCGAGGAACUGCGCCCAAAACUGCCGUGCUCGAGGGAGACAGAGGUGAGCGGAACUUAGGGUGGAGCGGUGAAAUGCGUUGAUAUCCUAAGGAACACCGGUGGCGAAAGCGGCUCACUGGGUCUCUUCUGACGCUGAGGCACGAAAGCUAGGGUAGCGAACGGGG